ACAGCCUUGCAGUGGUGACUCACGGUGUUGUCCUCUGAGGUUAGCGCAGCCCAGAGAAAUGCCCAGGCAAGCCAUGCUUCUUGCACCCCUUGCUCGAAAUCUCGGCUCGUGGAGCAGCCGCUGGCCAGGGUGAGCCCCACGAUCAGAAUGGCGUGGGUUGCCCGGGCCCCCCAGGAACACGGCCCCACUGAGUGACCGAGCAGCCUGCUCAGCUCUGACACACCUGGAUGAUCAGCUAGGCCCAGGGACCCUACACCUGAAUGAACAGUUUUACAGAUGAGAAGACUGAGGCUCGCAGAGGUUCAGCGACUUUCCCAGUGACUCAGUGGGAGGCAAAGCGAAUACAAAGCCAGAGAAGUUGCUAACCCCUACCUGAGAGGACAAGGGUCAUGGGCCACAGGUUCGGCCCCCACGUUGGAAGGGGAGCCACCUGGGUAAGUUCAAGCUGCAGCCAGAGACAAAGGAGCAGAAGCAGGUGGGUUCUCUGAGGCCUUUGCCAGAAGCCACUGCCCUGAUUUUCCCGUGACAAAACAACCUACGACCUCCCAGCCUGGCUGCAGGAAACCGGGUCUGGCUCCCCAGUGGGGACCCUGGAGGGGCCCAGACCCCUGCAGCACCUGGCCUGGGGAGGAAUCCCAGCCCCUCCAUGAAGAGCUGUGGGGCUUUGAGCAGGUCCAUGACCUCUAAGCCUGAGGCUCUCCAUCUGUAAGACGAGGAUGAUAACGCAAUCCUUGAAGGGCUGUUGAGAAUUCCGUAAGUAUGAUAACAAAGGUCACAGCACAGCUGUGCAGAGCCAUUCUGCAACCCGGUUAGACCUUGCUGCCUGACCGGCUAGGCAGCCCCGCCGGCGGCUCGGCUACGGAAAUGAUGCACCUCCCAAGUGUGUCCACUAGAGGGCGGGAAGGCCCUGCUGGCGGCCCGGAGGGUGUCAGAUGGAGCCGGCCCGCGGGUUCCCUUUCCUGGGGAGAGGUGCCCUCCCCUGCUGUUUACAGCCCUGGCCUUUGAUCAGCUCUUGUUCUCCUCCUGGCCUGCUGAGGGCCAGACUGCCGCAGAGCUCCCCGUUGGGGACGGGCCAGGCUUCCUUCUUGCCCUCUCUCCCUCCCCCAUUGGCAGGGGGGACGGAGGCCAGGUCACCCGGGAAACGCCCCUUGGCCAGUCUGUUUGCACAGCUUUGCAAAGCCCUUUCCCUGCACAUCACCUCCUGUGACCCUCCGACCACCCUGGGAUACAGACAGAGCAGGUGGGAUGACACCUGUCUUCCAGGUGAGGAAACCAGAGCUCAGAGAGGCUAAGUGACUUGCCCAAGAUCCCAUAGCUGGUGAGCAGGGUGUUCUCCCAAGAACAGUCUCCCUGGGGGCAUUUGAGGCAGCAACUGUGGUGUCCAGGGGCUCUGGGUGCAGCUGGGCACAGGAAGUCAGCAGCUCCCGUCUCCACCUGGAAGGUCCUGGCAACUCGGGGAGCGAAGGCACCUCGGGCUCUGCAGAGGAGCACACAGCGCCACGGUCGGUUCAAGGGGGACACGCCGCCCAGGUCCUGCCCCUCCAUCAGAGCGUUACAGGACUCUGGUGGACACGCUGGGACGGAGAAGCUCUUCCCAUCGGCACCCGAAGGAAGAAGCAGGAGGCGGCGAGAGCAGCUCCCCCCACCGGGACCGCAGGGGAACCCAGGGUGGGCACGACCCAGGGGGCGGACGGGAGGAAACCUGGCCCUUGGUGACACCCCUGAGCUGCUCCAUCAGCCUUUGCCUGCAGCUCUGCCGAGUGAACAGAUGUCCUCUAUUGUUUGAGCCAGUCAGGGGGAGUUUUCUGUUUCCUGCAAACGGAAGAUUCCGGACUCAUACGGAGAAGGUCUCUUUUCCUUAUUUAGGGAGAACACUGCAAAGUGGAAGGAGGGAUGCAUGGCAUCAGGUGCCGAGAGUGUCGGGUCGGAGGUGUUUUAUAGUCCAAACCUGAGACUGAAGAGGAGCCGGGGGUCAGAGGGGCUUCUGGAGUCAGGCAGCCCUGCACCCAGGACUCCGAACUCACAGUCCCAUCCGGUGCCUGGAGGGGACAGGGGGGCUGUGUCUCGGGGGGUUAUUUCCCGGGGUUUUCCUCGCCUAUGUCUUUGGUGUAGUUCCCCACACCACUCCUUUCCGGAAAAUUCUGGAGGUUUCAAUGGCCACCUCCCUGCCCUUAUGCCAAAAUCACCUGAUUUCUAUGGCAGACAAAAUAUCUCAUAUUUUUAAAAACUCUUUAAGGCAAAAAGAAACCACAUCCCUCUACUCAGCACCCCAGUGCUGGGACAGUUCUUCUUAGUGUCUAACUCAAUUCCCUGCAGCCCUGCUCAGACCAUCGGGGCUGCUGGGCCUCUGGGGCGUGGGAAGGUGGCACCCUGGGCAAGGGCAGAGCCGGAGGCAGAUGCAGGAGAGGCUGAAGCUGCGGAGGCGGCGGGGCCCCGGGCUGCACGGAGGCCAGCCUCUUCCUGAGCGGAUUAGCGCUGUGGUCUAAGUGACUGAAGCUGCCCAGAACGCUAUUGUAGCAAGAGGCUUACUGAAACGUAGACACCAGCCCAGCAUGUCCCGACACACAGCCUGGAAAAUAAGCCGAAUGUGCUGCCCGCGCUAAGCCGCCCUAUUGUCCUGCGUGUUGGGACAACACCUUGCUUUCUGCCCGGAACCUCCCCUCCAGAGCCCAGCCCUCCUCUCCAGGGCUUCCCCUCCCCUGGUGGCGGGAGGGCUGGGACAGGAGCAGGGAGUGGGAAGAGCCAAAGUGUGCAGCCCGUGCAGGUGCAUGACAGGGUCACAUGGCAGCUCAGCUACAGGGCCAGGAGUAGCACCAGGGUUUUCUGACCCCUGGUGAGAAGUCUCUCCCAUGAACCCUGGGUCCCACCCCAUCCCAGGCACACUCCUGCCUGCCACGUGUCCCCCUCCUCCUUCACGCUCAGUUCUUCCCCUUCCCCCUCCCCCACCACCGGCAAGGUGCUGCCUGCAGGGAGCCGGCUGGGUGACCUUGCACCUCCCAUGGUGCAGACUGGCACGGGCUCUUCCGCCAUGCGGAGUCCCAGGCCAAGGCCACAUCACAUGGAGGGUAGAUAAUGUCCCCACGGCUGCCAGGGGAAAACAGACUGGAAAAGUCCCAUCCCACCCUCUGGGGACCUUAGGGACAGGCAGGAAGUGGGCGUGGAUCUGCUGCUGCAGGGAGGAGGGCCUGGUGCCACGCAGGGGGCCGGGGUUGGAGACUGCAGGGCUUUGGGGAUCUAGCUCUGUGGCCUUCCAAGAAGCUGGUGGCUCUGGGUGGAGGCGUGAGGACACUGAGGAAGAUGG